UGGUGAUGCUGCUGCACCCCACCACACAACCAAUGAGAGUGAACAUCACUAUCUCAUUGAUGGGUGUAUCUGAAGAUGAGAGGGCUAGCAAGGGUGGGAUGUCACAGAAAAAGUGACUGAUGAUAUUGGAAUUGCAGAAUGACAAUCGAAAUGUGCAGCAGGUGUGGACUGCCGAAUCCACUAGGUCCACAAAGUAGGCAAGGGACACGAGCUGGAUGCAGAUUUUCCUGGACAUGACGAUUGUAUAAAGAGACGAGAAGUCAGCCGGCAUCUUGGGAGAGACAGUGAAGGAGUAGCAGACAUCACAGAAAGACAGAUUGCUCAGGAAAUAGUACAUGGAGUCCAGCUGGAGUCCAGCUUGAUCAGCAGGAUCAUCCCUAGAUUGGCAAUCACGGUUAUGCCAUAAACUAGCAAAAAGAGCACAAAGAGUCCCUGCUGCACAUCUUUCCUGCCAGAGAGUCCUAGGAGCCUGAAGUCAGUAAUCACAGUGCAGUUCUCAACAGCCAUCGCUCAGAUCUGGGAAUCCCUGCUUGUGAGAGAUGGAAACAGAGCCAGGAUUAGCAUCAUCUUACCAUUUUAGCAGACAAGAUAAAGGAACUGAUAAGAAUGAUUGAUAAGAAUUGAUACUCAACCUGCAGCAAAGAAUGUUCAUGGUCUUAUAUUGGAGACAAUGGUCAAAUCAACUGAGCCAUAGGUACAGUGAUGCCUUGAGGAGAGUAUUACUUAUAAACCACAAAGAUGAGCAUUUAACCAGGACUGAGAAGGCAGAAGAAGGGAAGAAAAGCCAAGUGGAAGUGACUGAGUUGAAUUUCAACAUAAGGAUGUACUUUGCCAGGACCCUCCACUUUGCACUUUUAUCCUUCUCUUGUUGGACAUUGCAGGGGAGCAGAAUACACCACUUCAAAAUAUACCACUUUGGCUAUUGAGUAUUUUAUUUUAUUUUUUUAAGAUU